UACGUAGGGGGCAAGCGUUGCCCGGAAUCAUUGGGCGUAAAGAGCGUGUAGGCGGCUCGGUAAGUCCGCUCUGAAAGCCCGGGGCUCAACCCCGGGAGGCGGGCGGAUACUGUCGGGCUUGAGUACGGAAGAGGCGAGUGGAAUUCCUGGUGUAGCGGUGAAAUGCGCAGAUAUCAGGAGGAACACCAAUGCGAAGGCAGCUCGCUGGGACGUUACUGACGCUGAGACGCGAAAGCGUGGGGAGC
rnacentral:rRNA from 1 species